rnacentral:rRNA from 1 species
GACGAACGCUGGUGGCGUGCUUAACACAUGCAAGUCGAACGAAGUGGCGAACGGGUGAGUAACGCGUAAUCAACCUGCCCUUCAGAGGGGGACAACAGUUGGAAACGACUGCUAAUACCGCAUACUGAAGGAGGGGAUUGCGUCGAAUUCGCAGGCUGGAGGGGUAACGGCCCACCAAGGCGAUGAUCAGUAGCCGGUCCUGUGGGAGGGACGGCCACAUGGGGACUGGGAAACGGCCCAGACUCCUACGGGAGGCAGCAGUGGGGAGUUGUCCGACAUGGACGAAAGUCUGGCGGAGCAACGCCGCGUGAGUGAUGACGGCCUUCGGGUUGUAAAGCUCGGUUAAUCGGGACGCGGUACCGGAAUAGAAAGCCACGGCUAACUACGUGCCAGCAGCCGCGGUAAUUC